AUUGAACGCUGGCGGCAUGCCUAACACAUGCAAGUCGAACGAGUGGCGGACGGGUGAGUAAUGUCUUGGAAACUGCCUGAUGGAGGGGGAUAACUACUGGAAACGGUAGCUAAUACCGCAUACCAUCAGAUGUGCCCAGAUGGGAUUAGCUAGUUGGUGGGGUAACGGCUCACCAAGGCUACGAUCCCUAGCUGGUCUGAGAGGAUGACCGUACACACUAGGACUGAGUCACGGUCCAGACUCCUACGGGAGGCAGCAUUGGGGAAUAUUCCACAAUGGGCGCAAGCCUGAUGCAGCCAUGCCGCGUGUAUGAAGAAGGCCUUCGGGUUGUAAAGUACUUUCAGCGGGGAGGCGUUACCCUCACAAGAAGCACCGGCUAACUCCGUGCCAGCAGCCGCGGUAAUUC
rnacentral:rRNA from 1 species